rnacentral:rRNA from 1 species
GAUGAACGCUGGCGGCGUGCCUAAUACAUGCAAGUCGAGCGAACGGACGAGAAGCUUGCUUCUCUGAUGUUAGCGGCGGACGGGUGAGUCACACGUGGAUAACCUACCUAUAAGACUGGGAUAACUUCGGGAAACCGGAGCUAAUACCGGAUAAUAUUUUGAACCGCAUGGUUCAAAAGUGAAAGACGGUCUUGCUGUCACUUAUAGAUGGAUCCGCGCUGCAUUAGCUAGUUGGUAAGGUAACGGCUUACCAAGGCAACGAUGCAUAGCCGACCUGAGAGGGUGAUCGGCCACACUGGAACUGAGACACGGUCCAGACCCCUACGGGAGGCAGCAGUAGGGAAUCUUCCGCAAUGGGCGAAAGCCUGACGGAGCAACGCCGCGUGAGUGAUGAAGGUCUUCGGAUCGUAAAACUCUGUUAGUAGGGAAGAACAUAUGUGUAAGUAACUGUGCACAUCUUGACGGUACCUAAUCAGAAAGCCACGGCUAACUACGUG